rnacentral:misc_RNA from 1 species
AAAGAGAAACGAAGAUGUUUCAUCCAUUUCGAAAAUUAUUAAAUACACAUUUCUUUUUAUAUACACUCCACAAACAACUGGCAAUUCAGCAAUGAGAAUUCAAGUGAAACAGGACCAGAAAUCACGCAUUCUCCCUCCGUUAGGGUAAAGAAUAAAAAGGAGAAUUUUACAUCGAAUCACCUUGUAAUAAGACUGUAGGAAAUUGUAGUAUUUAUUGUUGAUGGAAUAAUUGAUGGGUAGCGGGCACUGCAGAAGACUCAUUUGGUAGUUUUAGAUCCAGGAAAUCCUUCGCUUUCAGGGCUUACGACACAAUGUAUUCAGCAUAUCGAAUUUGAAAGACACCACAAGAAUUAUAGAAGUAUCACACCUUAAUUGGACCGUAUUUCUCACCCAUUAGUCCUCCUUUUUGUUUCUGAAAUUGAAUGUAACGCAAUGUGCUGGAGAAGAAAGCGUCUGAAGCUUUAUCUGGGGUUGUGGUGUCACUCUGCAUCUCAGUUUUAAUCAACUCUAUAAGGCUCUGAAUUGCAGAAGAUGUUAUUUGAGGGUUCCCCUUCUCAAAAAAGUAAAGGUACUUGUUAAGUAUUUCAACAAAAAGCGUGACAGGUCCACUGCUACCCCUUGUAACAUUUGCUUGUUGUUGUGCUGCAUUAGCAAUCCGCAACGAACGCUUUAGGCAAAGCAAGACCCUUUCUCCAUCUUUAAUACCAUCUUGAUCGUCAACCCAAAAUAGAUGUGAACAAGCAUAAACUGCUCUACAUUGAUCAGGUUUCUUUAGGAGUUUUGCUGAAUACCCUGUGG